rnacentral:rRNA from 1 species
GACGAACGCUGGCGGCGUGCCUAAUACAUGCAAGUCGAACGCAGUGGGGACGGGUGAGUAACACGUGGGUAACCUCCCAUCAGAGGGGAUAACACUUGGAAACAGGUGCUAAACCGAUACUGAUGGAUGAACCCGCGGUGCAUUAGCUAGUUGGUGGGGUAACGGCUCACCAAGUCCACGAUGCAUAGCCGGCCUGAGAGGAUGAGCGGCCACACUGGAACUGAGACACGGCCCAGACUCCUACGGGAGGCAGCAGUGGGGAAUAUUGGGCAAUGGACGAAAGUCUGACCGAGCAACGCCGCGUGAGUGAAGAAGGUUUUCGGAUCGUAAAGCUCUUUUGGUGGAGAAGCGGUAUCUGACCAGAAAGCAACGGCUAACUACGUGCCAGCAGCCGCGGUAAUAC